rnacentral:rRNA from 1 species
AUUGAACGCUGGCGGCAGGCUUAACACAUGCAAGUCGAACGAGUGGCGGACGGGUGAGUAAUGUCUGGGAAACUGCCCGAUAGAGGGGGAUAACUACUGGAAACGGUAGCUAAUACCGCAUACCAUUGGAUGUGCCCCUAUGGGAUUAGCUAGUGGGUGGGGUAACGGCUCACCUAGGCGACGAUCCCUAGCUGGUCUGAGAGGAUGACCAGCCACACUGGAACGGAGACACGGUCCAGACUCCUACGGGAGGCAGCAGUGGGGAAUAUUGCACAAUGGGCGCAAGCCUGAUACAGCCAUGCCGCGUGUAUGAAGAAGGCCUUCGGGUUGUAAAGUACUUUCAGCGAGGAGGCGUUACUCGCAGAAGAAGCACCGGCUAACUCCGUGCCAGCCGCCGCGGUAAUAC